rnacentral:rRNA from 1 species
AUGAGCUUCUAUACAAGGAGGAGAUGUUAUGACGCCAAAGAUCAAGAGUUUGGCUCAAAGAGGGUGACCGGAACACUCAGUUCUUCCACCAGAAAGCUGUUUGGCGUGCUAGGAGAAAUAAAAUUAAGGGGCUUGUUGACGACAUGGGUGUCCUUCAUACAGAUCAGGAAACAAUCUGUGGUCUCCCUGUUUGAGCGUGUGAUUACGAACGAGAUGAACGACAAAUUGUGUGAGCCCUUCUCUGAUAAGGAAAUUGGGGACGCUAUGUUUCAGAUUGGGCCAUGGAAGGCGCCGGGGCUGGACGGAUUUCCGACGCGGUUUUUUCAGAGACAUUGGGCAGUUUUGAAGGACGGUAUUGUGGCUGCUGUUAGACUGUUUUUUGAGACAGGACAUAUGCCAGAAGGUGUAAACAUGACAACCAUUGUGCUAAUUCCCAAGGUUGACGCGCCGACCAAACUUACGGAAUUCCGGCCCAUUAGCCUUUGUAAUGUGAUAUAUAAGGGCACCGGACAGGCGACGAGCCGUCUGGGCUUUAUUAUGGAGGUGCCCUGCUCCUCAUAA